AUUGAACGCUGGCGGCAGGCCUAACACAUGCAAGUCGAACGGUAACAGGAAGCAGCUUGCUGCUUUGCUGACGAGUGGCGGACGGGUGAGUAAUGUCUGGGAAACUGCCUGAUGGAGGGGGAUAACUACUGGAAACGGUAGCUAAUACCGCAUAACGUCGCAAGACCAAAGAGGGGGACCUUCGGGCCUCUUGCCAUCGGAUGUGCCCAGAUGGGAUUAGCUAGUAGGUGGGGUAAAGGCUCACCUAGGCGACGAUCCCUAGCUGGUCUGAGAGGAUGACCAGCCACACUGGAACUGAGACACGGUCCAGACUCCUACGGGAGGCAGCAGUGGGGAAUAUUGCACAAUGGGCGCAAGCCUGAUGCAGCCAUGCCGCGUGUAUGAAGAAGGCCUUCGGGUUGUAAAGUACUUUCAGCGGGGAGGAAGGGAGUAAAGUUAAUACCUUUGCUCAUUGACGUUACCCGCAGAAGAAGCACCGGCUAACUCC
rnacentral:rRNA from 1 species